rnacentral:rRNA from 1 species
UACGGGGGGUGCGAGCGUUAAUCGGAAUUACUGGGCGUAAAGGGAAUGUAGGUGGUGUCGUAAGUCAGAUGUGAAAGCCCCGGGCUUAACCCGGGAAGUGCAUUUGAUACUGCGAUGCUAGAGUGCGAGAGAGGAAAGCGGAAUUCCAGGUGUAGGGGUGAAAUCCGUAGAUAUCUGGAGGAAUACCGAUGGCGAAGGCAGCUUUCUGGCUCGCAACUGACACUGAGAUUCGAAAGCGUGGGUAGCAAACAGG